GAGCCUGAUGCAGCGACGCCGCGUGAGGGAUGACGGCCUUCGGGUUGUAAACCUCUUUCAGUAGGGAAGAAGCCCCUUUUGGGGUGACGGUACUUGCAGAAGAAGCGCCGGCUAACUACGUGCCAGCAGCCGCGGUAAUACGUAGGGCGCAAGCGUUAUCCGGAAUUAUUGGGCGUAAAGAGCUCGUAGGCGGUUUGUCGCGUCUGCCGUGAAAGUCCGAGGCUCAACCUCGGAUCUGCGGUGGGUACGGGCAGACUAGAGUGAUGUAGGGGAGACUGGAAUUCCUGGUGUAGGGUGAAAUGCGCAGAGAUCAGGAGGAACACCGAUGGCGAUGGCAGGGUCUCUGGGCAUUUACUGUCGCUGAGGAUAUCAUUUCUGGUCU
rnacentral:rRNA from 1 species